AGAGAUUUUUCCACCUCUUUUUGCAGCCUCUAGUUCUCACUACUGUAACAGGGCAACAAAAAUCCCAUAGUCCUUAUGUCAUACCUUUGCCCACACUCCUCCUUUGUGUUUGGCAUCCACUCAUAGCACUCUUUUGCCAAGUUCUGCAAGUUAGGAAUUCGAACCCAUGGCAUGAAAACACUUCUAAUAGCUCUUAAAAUUACUAUUUUUAGAUAUUUAUGGGCAAAAUUUCAACACUGCUGUCCCUUAUUAAAGGAGAAUAAUUAAAUAAAUUUCAUAUUUUGAGUGGAAGACACCUGACCACACUGAACUUGGAUGUUUUAGUUCCCUACUCUGAGAGGCGGGCUCAGUGGAAUCCUAGGACAUUAGGGCUGGAGGAAAUAGGGAACUCCCUGCUCAGAACAGAGGGCUCCCCCAGGACAAAACCCUGCUGUGUGUUUUCUGUGUGACUUUACGUAAAUUAGUUAAGCUCCUCAAGACUCAGUUUUCUUAUCUGUAAAGGCAGAUAACACUAGUUCCUAACUCAUAGUGUUGUAGGUGUGGAGAAUGAAAUGAGAGGAUGGGUGUACAACAACAAGAACAUUGGGUACCCAAGGCAAGUGAUUGGAUGGAACAAGCAGUAAAGAUCACGUGUGCUCCAAGGUCACCCAACUUUAAAGGUCUGAAGCAAAUGUGCAGGGGGUGCCAUCAGUGGCUAGAGUUUAUGAAUUAGGGGUCUCUACAUGCUUGGUCGUCCAUGCAGUUCUUAUUUAUUUAUUUUGAGACAGAG
rnacentral:lncRNA from 10 species